rnacentral:lncRNA from 1 species
AGUCAGAACUGCAGCCUGCACUGCUGAUUAUCACUCUUGAUUCAUGCCACCUGUUCCCUUCCUAUAAGUAUUACUUUCAGUGUACUCAGUCUUUACCAGAAUACUGUCAGUCCUAUAUGCAGCGUCAUCAUUCAAUUCCCCUCUGUUAAUCUCCAUGGCCAUUUUCUCCAUGCAAGAGGACCACCCUUGAGUCUAAAUCUUCCUUCCUGUGUUACUCAUCUUUGUUAUUUUCUGAUCAGCACCCUGGGUCCCAGAGAAGACCCCCACCCUUGCCCCUGCCCCUGUCUCCUCCUCUGCCUCCCAAGCACCGUGGCUUUUUCAACACCUCCGCCCCCUCCAGUGCUUAUCCCUUGACUUGCGUGGUUUCCAGCUCAGAGAGCCAGAAGCAUUCAGAACUUCCCUCUGAGCAGUUUACUCUGAUAUCUCUCGCCUGUCAGUCACCUUGGAUCAGUGUGUCCUAAGUGCAUGUUCAGUGUAGGAAGGAAGAGAGCAUCCAGCACCAGGACUUGAACACACACAACAGCUGAGGACAAUCGGAAACCUGGAGUAACGAACUCCAUCACAUCGAUCCAAGACAUGGGAGGAAAAGAGAAGAACAUUUUGGUGAUUGCAAAUGUGCCCAGCUACCAAGGGCCAGACAAGAAACAUCUGUGUAACAAAGCCAGCGUUGUUAAGAAGAAUGGAAAAGCCCCCACUGCAGCUGGUAUUCCCCCACCGAUACCCAUGUCGCCCAUUGUUGAAAAGAUGGAGGGUUUGAAGACCAUCCGUAACCGCGGCAACAGCCUCCGUCUUGGUCGCCUGGCCCUCUACAAGCACCUUGAAAAAGUGGAGACUAUGCGAUCUUUCUGGGAGCUCAAACAUGUGGAGCUGGAAGGAGAAAACCAGGUAAUCUGCAGAGUCUGUGUUCUCAACAAACUCCAUCCACCUCUAGCAAAAUCACAUGACAUGACCUCAUACAAUGUUUUAUGU